AGGGUUUGAUCAUGGCUCAGGAUGAACGCUAGCGGCAGGCCUAAUACAUGCAAGCCGAACGGCAAGCUUGGUAGCAAUAUCGAGCCUAGAGUGGCGUAAGGGUGCGUAACACGUAUGCAAUCUGCCCGCAACAGGAGGAUAGCUCCCCGAAAGGGGAAUUAAUACUCCAUAACACCAUUUGAGGGCAUCUGAAGAUGGUUAAACUACAAGGGGUUGCGGAUGAGCAUGCGGUUGAUUAGCUAGUUGGCGGGGUAACGGCCCACCAAGGCGAUGAUCAAUAGGGGAACUGAGAGGUUUAUCCCCCACACUGGCACUGAGAUACGGGCCAGACUCCUACGGGAGGCAGCAGUAGGGAAUAUUGGACAAUGGGCGAGAGCCUGAUCCAGCCAUGCCGCGUGCAGGAAGAAGGCCUUCUGGGUUGUAAACUGCUUUUGCCAGGGGAUAAAAAGUCCCUGCGGGGAAAAUUGAAGGUACCUGGUGAAUAAGCCACGGCUAACUACGUGCCAGCAGCCGCGGUAAUACGUAGGUGGCAAGCGUUGUCCGGAUUUAUUGGGUUUAAAGGGUGCGUAGGCGGUUUCAUAAGUCAGUGGUGAAAUACGGCAGCUCAACUGUCGAGGUGCCAUUGAUACUGUGAGACUUGAGUACAGACGAGGUAGGCGGAAUUGACGGUGUAGCGGUGAAAUGCUUAGAUAUCGUCAAGAACACCGAUAGCGAAGGCAGCUUACUAGGCUGUAACUGACGCUGAGGCACGAAAGUGUGGGGAUCAAACAGGAUUAGAUACCCUAGUAGUCC
rnacentral:rRNA from 1 species